rnacentral:lncRNA from 1 species
GUUAGUGGUACAAAGAUAGUUUAGGGUGAACAAGGAGUAGUUCAGGAAAUAUCAUGUGAAAGUAGGGUUUGGGAAUGUUGUUACAUUGCAUGGCGUGGUUAUAAAUGUUUCGUUUCUUUGAUUAUGAAACUGGUAGGGAGUAAACUAAAAUUCUCUGUGGUUGUCUAGAUUUUAAUCUUUUACUAUUAGUAAUGCUGGACGUGUAAUGUAUACCUAUUUAAAUAUGAGUGUAUGCUUCGUGAGAGAAUGGUGUAGUUGGAGGAGGGUCUGUGACCCUAUUCGGGUAAGGUGAAGGAGGAAAGGGUUAUUUGUGUGGCAUAUGAUGGAGAGAUGUGUAAGGGGUCAUAACAGUAGUAAAAGGGAAAGAGAGAAUGUUUUGGAGAAAGGUUUGGGUUGGAGUUUACGUUUACUGGUGGGGAAGUUGUCCGUAGGGAGGUUUAGUUUUCUCGCAAUCUGCAUGGGAAGGAGAAGUUCUGCAUCAUGGAUGUGCUAUAGUUCACGUGAAUGAGAGUGUUGUAUGUUAGAAAGGAGGACUGGUUGGAGGUUGAUUGAUGUUCAAAGUUGUGUAUGUUGCAGUAAGUGAGAAACCAGUGAGUGUAUAAGAAGGAAAGGUGGUAGGUAUGGUAGGUAUUUUACAAUAGGAUGUACCCAGUAAUUUGACUUUUGCAUGCAGAAUAGAAAAAAAAAAAGGGGGGUCACUUAGAUUGAAGAAUAAGGAAAAGGUUAAAAAGGCAUGAACCUUUCAUUUUUGCACGGUCAUUUCAAUAUUGGAAAGGCUUUACUAGUUUAGCUCUAGAGAAUAAUAUACUUAAGUUUAUAUAAUAUAAUAUAUUAAUAUAUUUUUAAUUUAUAAGUAUAUAUGUGAGCAGCAGGUAG